AAGUGUGUUGGAGACUGGCAGGCUUUUAAGAGCGCUUAAGGGGAAAGAUAUCUUCUGUGUCUCCCAUUUUUGACUGAGUGAGCUAAAGACUUUACAUUAUUGAAAAUAUUAACUUCACAAUUUGUAAGGGUGAUGGGGAGAAUGCUGUAAAUAAACUGCACAAAGUGUUUGUCCAGAAGAAGGUCCUUGAAUGGUUUAUGGCUAGAAAGAGCAAGGAGCAGCAAGAUCCCAUGUCGCAUCUUGGUACAGUUUGAGAACGCUGUGUGCUAGGAUUCCGCUGGGAGCAAGGAAAACUCAGUGUGCUACCUCAGAGUCCAAAUUUGAACAACAAAGUAAAUAUCAAAGACCCCAGCUGCCAAUCACCUAUUAUGCUACAAUGCUCAACCCAAUGAGUAAGGGUAAGAAUUACCCUGCUGGUUCCCUUAGGGCUGUAGAAUCUGCACAACAAAUUCUUUGUAUAUCCAGCUGCUCCAGAAAACUCAGAUAUUUAGUACCUGAUUCAUUGACCUCUCUUGCAAUAUCUAAACAGCUUUGAGUGGAAAAACACAAUCCUACUCUCAGAAGAAGGAAAAGCUCAGACUUAUUUGUGCAUGACUGUGGCUUCAGCUUCCUUUGUUUUUUCUCCUGUGAU